GCAGACAGAUUACAGCCAAUCAGCAGCAGACCCUCCCUCCCAGACCCUCCCACCUCCUGGACAGCAUCCAUUUUGAAGCUGCAUUCUUAGUGAGCUGUCCAGGAGGUGGUAGGGUCUGGGAGGGAGGGUCUCCUGCUGAUUGGCUGGAAUGUGCCU